rnacentral:lncRNA from 1 species
CAAACCCUAGAAUCAUCUUGUCGAUAUCUAUCAAAGCAAAAUCAAGCAUACAAAGAGAUAGAAUUUUAUAUUUAGACCAAUAUGAAAAAGUGGCAUGUUGGUGUUCUCCACGAGUCUCCAAAGUAAAAGUCCUCCAAUGGUGAUCUACACGAAAGUUGACCAAGGUCCUUCCCAACCAGUACGCUGUCGCAGCCUUGUCUUCUCAAGAACACUACUGGCUUCGAACUUGCAUCACGAUCGCACCAAAAUCCAGUUGCUUUCGCUUUCACCACC